YUACGUGCCAGCAGCCGCGGUAAUACGGAAGGUCCAGGCGUUAUCCGGAUUUAUUGGGUUUAAAGGGAGCGUAGGCCGCUGAUUAAGCGUGUUGUGAAAUUUGGAUGCUCAACAUCUGAACUGCAGCGCGAACUGGUUAGCUUGAGUGUGCGCAACGCAGGCGGAAUUUGUGGUGUAGCGGUGAAAUGCUUAGAUAUCACGAAGAACUCCGAUUGCGAAGGCAGCUUGCGGGAGCACAACUGACGCUGAAGCUCGAAAGCGCGGGUAUCGAACAGGAUUAGAUACCCUGGUAGUCCGCGCGGUAAACGAUGGAUGCCCGCUAUUCGCUCAUUUUUGAGCGUGUGGCCAAGCGAAAGCGUUAAGCAUCCCACCUGGGGAGUACGCCGGCAACGGUGAAACUCAAAGGAAUUGACGGGGGCCCGCACAAGCGGAGGAACAUGUGGUUUAAUUCGAUGAUACGCGAGGAACCUUACCCGGGCUUGAAUUGCAGAGGAAAGAUCCAGAGAU
rnacentral:rRNA from 1 species